GAUGAACGCUGGCGGCGUGCCUAAUACAUGCAAGUCGAGCGAACGGACGAGAAGCUUGCUCUUCUGAUGUUAGCGGCGGACGGGUGAGUAACACGUGGAUAACCUACCUAUAAGACUGGGAUAACUUCGGGAAACCGGAGCUAAUACCGGAUAAUAUUUUGAACCGCAUGGUUCAAAAGUGAAAGACGGUCUUGCUGUCACUUAUAGAUGGAUCCGCGCUGCAUUAGCUAGUUGGUAAGGUAACGGCUUACCAAGGCAACGAUGCAUAGCCGACCUGAGAGGGUGAUCGGCCACACUGGAACUGAGACACGGUCCAGACUCAUACGGGAGGCAGCAGUAGGGAAUCUUCCGCAAAGGGCGAAAGCCUGACGGAGCAACGCCGCGUGAGUGAUGAAGGUCUUCGGAUCGUAAAACUCUGUUAUUAGGGAAGAACAUAUGUGUAAGUAACUGUGCACAUCUUGACGGUACCUAAUCAGAAAGCCACGGCUAACUACGUG
rnacentral:rRNA from 1 species